ensembl:lncRNA ITGA9-AS1 ITGA9 antisense RNA 1
CGCCGCGGGCUCUGCCCGCUCGCCUGCUCGCCUGGUGGGGGAGAGGGGAGCGGGGCCGACACAGGACUGCAGUUGACAGCAGAUAACUGAAAGCUCGGAAAGCGAAACCGUGGAUAAGCAGGGGAACUGUGGCAUCCCAUUUAAAAUUGCUUCUGAAGAGAAGCAUGAGGUUACAUCUGUAAUCUCCCUGCAGCAGAGUCAACUGCAUAAGAAACCAAAAGACACACCUGCUCCAUGCCAGCUUCGAUAAUUUCUUUGUACCUUCGGCGAAAGAAGCCCAUCUGAAAGGCAGAAAGAAAGAGAAGCUGAGUUAGAAGUGCUGAAGAAUCAGCCAUUGUGACCCCAAGGCAGUCUGUCCCUGGGUAGGUGUGACCUGCACUCACAGGGCUGGGGAGGCUUGGAGGACCCCUCGGAUUAGAGAAAACACUGGCAAGAAAAACAUCCUGUGGAGACAUUUUUCAAAAUGCAUGGACUUCCUGCGGGUGAUAUUACGUAAGCUGUUUGUUCCUUCUAAAAUGCAUCUGGUGUAGUGUUUUCCAGACUGUGUGCUGGGGAAUACCAGUUACUGAGAGCUGUUCAAAGGUGUUUGGGAGUAAAAAAAGGUUUCAUGGCUGGGCGCAGUGGCUCACGCCUGUAAUCCCAGCACUUUGGGAGGCUGAGACAGGCAGAUCACUUGAGGUCAGGAGUUUGAGAGCAGCCUGGCCAACAUGGUGAAACCCUGUCUCUACUAAAAAUACAAAAAUUAGCUGGGCAUGGUGGUGUGUGCCUGUAAUCCCAGCUACUUGGGAGGCUGGGGCACGAGAAUCGCUUGAACCUGGGAGGCGGAGGUUGCAGUGAGCCGAGAUCGUGCCACCACUGCACUCCAGCCUGGGCGACAGAGUGAGACUCCAUCUCA